GGAAAAUCCUAGAAUGUCUGGGAAGGUCCCAAGGAUGGAGCAUGAACUAAAUCUUCAGAAAUGUUGAUGCAGCUGCUCUGCCUUGAAGGGAAGUCUCAAGCUGCCCUUCCCCGGAUCAUCAAGUAGAGACCAAGGUGGCAGUCGGUGGUGCUCUGGAAAGCUAUGCCAGGAGAUUCAGGGACUCAUUCAAGACCUGGUUGCCUAAGUUUUGGGCUUAUGAGAAGGGUCACGUGAACUGCAGAAAAAUGAGACAUAUAAGAGUCACACGGGAGGCAAGUUUUCCUGGCAAGAAAAGAAGUCAAUCUAAAGAGACAUGUGUGCCUCUCAAUUUGACAAACCGUUGAAACAAUGACCCCUACUAAAAGUGGAAUUUCUCCAGGAAUCUCACACUGGGAGAAGGAAAUCACCGCUAUCCAGGUGGAAAGCUGGCCUCCUAAAAGAUUUCAAGCUGUUUUUGCCAGACCACAUAAUGUCUGAGUCUGUACCAGAUAAUGAUGGGAGAAUGAUAGACAGGACCACACCUUGACAAGGACUACUCAUGUGUGCAUAUAUCUGGGUCUCUGCUUAAACUUUGAUCUCACUUAGAGAAAAUGGAGAUGGA